GACGAACGCUGGCGGCGUGCCUAAUACAUGCCAGUAGAACGCUCAAGAGAGGAGCUUGCUCUUCUUGGAUGAGUUGCGAACGGGUGAGUAACGCGUAGGUAACCUGCCUGGUAGCGGGGGAUAACUAUUGGAAACGAUAGCUAAUACCGCAUAAAAUUGAUUAUUGCAUGAUAAUUAAUUGAAAGAUGCAACUGCAUCACUACCAGAUGGACCUGCGUUGUAUUAGCUAGUUGGUGAGGUAACGGCUCACCAAGGCGACGAUACAUAGCCGACCUGAGAGGGUGAUCGGCCACACUGGGACUGAGACACGGCCCAGACUCCUACGGGAGGCAGCAGUAGGGAAUCUUCGGCAAUGGGGGGAACCCUGACCGAGCAACGCCGCGUGAGUGAAGAAGGUUUUCGAAUCGUAAAGCUCUGUUGUAAGAGAAGAACGGGUGUGAGAGUGGAAAGUUCACACUGUGACGGUAUCUUACCAGAAAGGGACGGCUAACUACGUG
rnacentral:rRNA from 1 species